rnacentral:rRNA from 1 species
CCUACGGGUGGCAGCAGUGGGGAAUAUUGCACAAUGGGGGAAACCCUGAUGCAGCGACGCCGCGUGAGUGAAGAAGUAAUUCGUUACGGAAAGCCCUAUCAGCAGGGAAGAAACUGACGGUACCUGAGUAAGAAGCCCCGGCUAACUACGUGCCAGCAGCCGCGGUAAUACGUAGGGGGCAAGCGUUAUCCGGAUUUACUGGGUGUAAAGGGGGCGUAGACGGUGUGCCUAGUCUGGAGUGAAAUGCCGCAGCUUAACGCCGUAACUGCUUUGGAAACUGGGCGGCUGGAGUGCAGGAGGGGUAAGCGGAAUGCGUGGUGUAGCGGUGAAAUGCGUAGAUAUUAGGAGGAACACCGGUGGCGAAGGCGGCUUACUGGACUGUAACUGACGUUGAGGCUCGAAAGCGUGGGGAGCGAACAGGAUUAGAUACCCCUGUAGUC